CAGUGGGGGAGGGGCCAGGAGCUCAGAGGCUGGGCAGGACGGUCCCGUGGGCCAGAUGUGAGCUGUAAUUUGUCCACCUCUGGAUUAGAUCCUUUCUUCUUCUUCUUUUUUCUUUCUUUUCUUUCUUUUUUUUAUGGUGACUAGCUCACAUGCACAGGUUUCAGCUAACUGCCAGACUUAGUCAAAAGUUUUUCCCUGAGAUAUAUUACCAGGAACUUUGGGAGUUUUACCUGCUUCUGAAACAUUGAUCAGAGUCAUUACUCUGAUCAGGUAGGGUGUGCAAUCAUCAGGGUUAGGAAUGGGUGAACUUUGGUCUUUCUGGUCUCCUGAGUUCCUUUGCUUAACCAUCUGCUGUAAUUUUUUAGUUAAUUGCUUGAUUUUUCUGAGAUAGAUCCCACCUGGUCCUGAUGUUGUGUCAGCUUUGUGACAUUCUGAAUUUCUUGAUCAUUACUUCUGGCAUGAGCUCAACUACUGACAGUAUUUCUACUGUCUCCCUUAGAAAAAGUAUGGCUGUUUUUGGCAUGGCCUCCAUCCCUCCUUGUAAACACAAGGCAAAUGAUGUUUUACUAAGUAGUCUGCUUCUUCUUUGUCUAUUAUAAUUGACCCAUUUAUCUCCUGCCUGUCUCCUUAAAUGAACUCUUGUUCUCUGUGUAACUGGAACCUUUCUCCUCCAUUUAGAUUGUUUGCACAUUCUUUUGGUUAGUUUCCACCCUUGCUUCUCUCAUCAUCCUUUCAAUCACUUUCAGUUUCUUUGUCUUUCUUGCAGUCUUCUCUUGCCUUUCACGUUUUCUGCAGUACCUCAUAUGACAGAUAUGGCAAUUUCCUGCGAUAUCUUUGGGAGUUCUUACUGUGUUAAGUUUAUGUAUCAUUGUGGGCCUGGGGUAGUAUGUAAUUACAUGGGGAUAUGGUGACCACAGCCCUCCAGGAACCAAGAACAGUGGGAAGUGAUUAGACAAAUUCACUCAGGUUGUAACACUUCUAGAGAACUACCCUCAUCUGGAGAGGUCACAUAUACUAGUUCAGGCUGGAUUCACUAGAGACCAACUGACAAAAAAAGGACAUUUGAAUAAGUAGCUGGAGUUUAAAUAGACUCAAGACCUUCCUUCUGAUCCAGCCAACAGACAGAACCUUCUGUCCACAGGGAGGCCCCAAUCUUUAGGGAAGGGUUGAAAAGACCAACACCUACCAGAGCCUGAGGCUGGAGUUGAGAUGACCUCUGAUGCGGCAUCUCUGAAGUGAAGCCAUAUGUAUCCGUGAAGAGCUCUGGGAUAAGAGGCCCUAUGUGGGCCAAUCCUAUGAGGUACUGAGCUCCCUCAGCUCCUAGGAUCAGGCCCUGUGAAGGUACAUCAUUAAGGACUGGAUCCUACCAACCCAUAUUCUCAUGAAUAGUCCCCAUUCAUAGGAAUAGUCCCACUGACUGCUUUCUCAACUAUUCAUCUAUCCAGUUUAUGCAGGGAACUGCGCAGCCUGCCAGGAGGGAGUGAGAUGCGUAUCUCGGCCCAAGAGAGAUGACGGCUGGGAGCUGGAAGCCUGAGAGUGGAUGCUGUUGGUGGACCAUGGAUGGGGAGCACAGUUUUGAAGGAGGAAGCAUAACUAGAGAUUAGACCAAGGGACUGGAGUCAAGAGGUCUGGGUUCUGCUCCCAGCUCUUCCACUGACAGAUUGCGUGUCCACAG